rnacentral:rRNA from 1 species
CAGUCGCCGCGGUAACACGUAGGGUGCAAGCGUUAAUCGGAAUUACUGGGCGUAAAGCGUGCGCAGGCGGUUAUAUAAGACAGAUGUGAAAUCCCCGGGCUCAACCUGGGAACUGCAUUUGUGACUGUAUAGCUAGAGUACGGCAGAGGGGGAUGGAAUUCCGCGUGUAGCAGUGAAAUGCGUAGAUAUGCGGAGGAACACCGAUGGCGAAGGCAAUCCCCUGGGCCUGUACUGACGCUCAUGCACGAAAGCGUGGGGAGCAAACAGGAUUAGAUACCCCCGUAGUCCCUGUCUCUUAACA